AGAGUUUGAUCAUGGCUCAGAUUGAACGCUGGCGGAAUGCUUUACACAUGCAAGUCGAGCGGCAGCGCGGGGCAACCUGGCGGCGAGCGGCGAACGGGUGCGUAACACAUCGGAACAUGUCCAUUCGUGAGGGAUAGCCCGGCGAAAGCCGGAUUAAUACCGCAUGAGCCCGAGAGGGGAAAGUGGGGGACUCGCAAGAGCCUCACGCGGAUGGGUUGGCCGAUGUCCGAUUAGCUAGUUGGCGGGGUAAGAGCCCACCAAGGCGAUGAUCGGUAGCUGGUCUGAGAGGAUGAUCAGCCACACUGGGACUGAGACACGGCCCAGACUCCUACGGGAGGCAGCAGUGGGGAAUUUUGGACAAUGGGGGCAACCCUGAUCCAGCCAUUCCGCGUGAGUGAAGAAGGCCUUCGGGUUGUAAAGCUCUUUUGUCCGGAGCGAAAAGGUUACGGUGAAUAUCCGUGACUACUGACGGUACCGGAAGAAUAAGCACCGGCUAACUACGUGCCAGCAGCCGCGGUAAUACGUAGGGUGCGAGCGUUAAUCGGAAUUACUGGGCGUAAAGCGUGCGCAGGCGGUUUUGUAAGCCAGAUGUGAAAGCCCCGGGCUUAACCUGGGAAUGGCAUUUGGGACUGCAAGGCUGGAGUGUGGCAGAGGAGACUGGAAUUCCUGGUAGCAGUGAAAUGCGUAGAUAUCAGGAGGAAUACCGAUGGCGAAGGCAGGUCUCUGGGCUGACACUGACGCUCAUGCACGAAAGCGUGGGGAGCAAACAGGAUUAGAUACCCUAGUAGUCC
rnacentral:rRNA from 1 species